AGAUUGAACGCUGGCGGCAUGCUUUACACAUGCAAGUCGAACGGCAGCACGGGGGCAACCCUGGUGGCGAGUGGCGAACGGGUGAGUAAUGCAUCGGAACGUAUCCUUGAGUGGGGGAUAACGUAGGGAAACUUACGCUAAUACCGCAUACGACCGAGAGGUGAAAAGCGGGGGGACCGAAAGGCCUCGCGCAGCAGGAUGAGCCGAUGUCCGAUUAGCUGGUUGGUGGGGUAAAGGCCUACCAAGGCGACGAUCGGUAGCUGGUCUGAGAGGAUGAUCAGCCACACUGGGACUGAGACAGGCCCAGACUCCUACGGGAGGCAGC
rnacentral:rRNA from 1 species